GACACGCGGCUGCGUGUCAAGCCAAGUUCAAAAGAAGAGAACUGGCGACGCAGCGGCCGUGUGUUAUAUUAUACGAACCAUUUGGAGCCACUUAUGACCCCUACGUAAAUCAAAAUUUAUUAAAUAUAAACAUAUGAAAUUUGGUUCAUUUAUUAAGACCCUUAAGGCUAACUAGAACCCCAAAUUUCAUAAAUAUAGCUCAACCGGUUAUUAAGAUAUAUAUAUCUAAAUAAGUUUUUGGCAAAAAAAACAUUUUUGGUACAAGCUUUUAUCGCUGACUGUACUUUUCUUUCCACAGGCAACUAAUAUUCAUCGAGACAAUUCUAAAAACCCCAAACACAAUUAGAUUGCGUUGUUUUAUCACAGAGUUCCUAUGGCCACCUCCUGUCUCCAUCAUCAGAUCAGUUCGAUGGUACCACAAUAUUGCAUUACAACGGGACAGGUGAAAGUAAAUAAAAGCUUGUAAAAA